rnacentral:tRNA from 1 species
UCGCGGGGUGGAGCAGAUUGGCAGCUCGUCGGGCUCAUAACCCGAAGGUCGCAGGUUCAAAUCCUGCCCCCGCAAA